GAUGAACGCUGACAGAAUGCUUAACGCAUGCAAGUCUUUGGCGAAGCUGUGCUUGCACAGCCUAGCCAAGGCGGACGGGUGAGUAACGCGUAAGGAACUUGCCCUGCAGUCAGGGAUAACAGACGGAAACGACUGAUAAGACCUGGUAAAGUCAGACGGACUCAUGUCCAGCCUGAUGAAAAGAGAUGCUGCAGGAGAGCCUUGCGUCCUAUUAGCUUGUUGGUGGGGUAACGGCCCACCAAGGCGAUGAUAGGUAGCCGGCCUGAGAGGGGGGACGGCCACAAGGGGACUGAGAUACGGCACUUACUCAUACGGGAGGCAGCAGUGGGGAAUAUUGGACAAUGGGGGCAACCCUGAUCCAGCAAUUCUGUGUGCACGAUGAAGGUUUUCGGAUUGUAAAGUGCUUUCAGCAGGGAAGAAAAAAAUGACGGUACCUGCAGAAGAAGCGACGGCUAAAUACGUG
rnacentral:rRNA from 1 species